GCAAGCCCUAUCUUAGCUCUGCCCCCUGAAAGCUGCAAUUCGAUCGAUUGGAUUGGAUGUGACCAAUACGAUAUAUGCGCUCAGUGCCUGAUGAGCGAAAUCUAAGUCUGGUGAUCUGUUGUUUUCUUUGUCCUUUUUGGAAUAGUCUGAUGAUGAUCGAUGGUGUGGUACGUGUGGGUUUGAGUACUACUUGAAGACCUGUUUUACGGUAAUUGAUGCCCG
rnacentral:lncRNA from 1 species